CCAAGGGCGUAAGAAGCAAACACCUCCUUGCUUCUCUCCUCUUUGCAGUCUUAUACAGAAGUUUCAAUUUCUCUCCUUUCUUUGGUGAUUCACAGUGAUGUUCAUCCACGGUUUUCUCUAAGUAACCCCCUUUUGCAUCCUGGCUACCAGAAGUAGCAUCUUAGGCAGGGACUCCAGUCUGGCCAGUGUCAUUCCUGGCUGCCCAGUGCUGUAGGAAUGUCUCAGAGGAGCUUCCUUACAAGGGUAUUUAUAGGAGUGACUUUUCUCUAAGCUUUAUAAUGCUAACUUCUAGGGUAUAACUAUUUUACACCAAAACCAUUGAUUUUCUCUAUUGAGUAUCCUCUAUGUAGCUUCAAUAGUGAGAGACAUGCCUGGAAAGUCAGGGCCCUGAGGUGGGGGUUUCCUAAAUCUUGGAGCAACUCUCCUAAGCCCAUACAGCCUGAGAUUCACUGUGGGCGAGGCUGGUCAUGAGGAAGAGCUUCAGGGGCAACAGGAACCUGGGGUCUUCUUAGGGCAGCCAAAGUCUGUCUCCAACCCCUCUCCCAAGAUUUGGAGUGCACGGGGGGCAUGUUGGGAGAGCUUGGCCGCUCUAUGAUGGCCCAGUUGAAAGCAAAGAAGAAGACUCCUGGAAUGAAAUACUGACAGCUGCCUGAGGUGUGGGUGAAGCUGAAGGAUGUCUACUUGCCACCCUGGGUAAGAUGGCAAAGUUACUAGUCCUUCUGGCAUAUGGCCAAACAUGACUGGGUGUGUCUCAUACAUACUUAGUGUCUUCAAUGGGUUUAUUUCCCUCUAGUUACCCAAAGCAAAGCAGGGAAAGGCAUGUGGCAAGUUCACACAGUUACAAGUAAAAGUGAGGGUUGAAUUAAAAAGGAAAAGAUUUGAACAGAUACUUUCUGGAAGAAGAUACACAGAUGGUAAGGCAGCACAUGAAUGUAACAGCAUGAGACACUAGGGAUAUGCCGGUUAAAAGCACAGUGAGCUCUCAUUCCACCUCCCUUAGUUCAAAAACAAGGCAAAGCUAAACAAAACCAAAAAUGGACAUUAUCAAGUUCUGGCAGAGGCAGAGAAACUGGAACUCUUACGCUUGCUGGUGGAGAUACAGAAUGGGUCAACUGCUUAGAAAACAGUUUGAAGGGGCCGGGUGCGGUGGCUCACGCCUGUAAUCCCAGCACUUUGGGAGGCUGAGGCAGUUGGAUCACGAGGUCAGGAGUUUGAGACCAGCCUGGCCAACAUGGUGAAACCCCAUCUCUACUAAAAAUACAAAAUUAGCUGGGCCUGGUGGCACCUGCCUGUAGUCCCAGCUACUUGGGAGGCUGAGGCAGGAGAAUCGCUUGAACUCGG
rnacentral:lncRNA from 10 species